UACGGAGGAUGCGAGCGUUAUCCGGAUUUAUUGGGUUUAAAGGGUGCGUAGGCGGCUUUUUAAGUCAGCGGUGAAAUUUUGCAGCUUAACUGUAACAGUGCCGUUGAUACUGGGGAGCUAGGAUUUGGUUGCUGUGGGUGGAAUGUGUGGUGUAGCGGUGAAAUGCUUAGAGAUCACACAGAAUAUCGAUUGCGAAGGCAACUCACAAAGCCAAGAUUGACGCUGAGGCACGAAAGUGUGGGGAUCAAACAGGAUUAGA
rnacentral:rRNA from 1 species